rnacentral:other from 1 species
AAUCCCUGCGAGAGACAGAGGGAGCGAGCGGGCGCGUCCGCCCGGGUGGAAGAGCAGAGCGAGCGGAGAGCGAGCCGAGGGGCGCUCCGGGCGCCCCGGGGAAGGGAGACCCGGAGUCACAGGGGGGCCUCUCCGCCGCCGAGCCCCCGCCCGCGGGGCGCGCGACCCCCCGCCGCUCCCACGGAACUUUGCCCGCCGCCGCGGGCGGACACUUGGCUCCCCCCCUCCUCCCCUUUUUGGAACUUACAACCACCCGAGAGCGAGGAGAACGCGACUCUCCGGACGCGCAGAGGCUCUACCCCUUCGCCUAUUUGGGAAGACACUUCUCCCCGC